GUUCAUACUGCUAGCCAUUUGUUUCAUUUGUGUGACCCAUGUCUGCCAACCAGUAAGGUUAGUCUCCUGCCAUGAUUCACUACAACUAAUGUCUAAAACUCGGUGAUGACCGAUUCCCAGGCGGGCAACCAGGCGGCACACAUCAAAGCCACCCUCCUAUGUAGAUCUUGUCAUCAUGUUGGUAUGUUUUAUCACAAUAUAUGGUCUAUGUGCAUUAUGCAUUUUGUAUUCAUAAACUAAUUUUCAGAUCAAUUAUGAGAUGCAAAUUGAUCAUCAACUUGUAAGGAAGUUUUUUUGGAUAACUGAAUUAUUCUCAGCUCCAUGCAGACACACACUAGCUCACUGAAAAGCCAAAGUAAGUUACAAAUUGGUGGUCUUCAGUAAUUAACAUAGUCUCAUAUUGGUGCUACUACUAUCAUAUCCUUAGUAUCUUUGUUUGCAAUUCUGUAUUGCAGACGUGAGCCACACAUCAGGUACAUUCCAGUCAACAGUAGGCUACUGAAUCUAUUUACUUCAUGCUAGAUAGGGUAAGCUACAAAGCUUCUCUGAUCCAUACUUCCUCUUUUAACCAUGUGCAUGCAAAUUAUCAACGGCCAUUUCAUUGCAGAUUAGACAUGCAUAUUUCCAAUGGUUGUACACACUUAGUACUUUAUUUCUAUGUAUGUAUUUCUCUGUACAUACAAACUUAUGAAUAAUUUAGUCAUUUUUAUUUAACUCAUUACUUCAGAAAUUUCUCUUUAUAUUGAUUUACUGUGAACUCAUGGUUUGCUGUGAGCACACACAUUGUUCCGGAAUCUUCCAGCUGCAAUAAAGUUGUUGGUGAAGUGAAAGGAACUUGCAUUUGCUUUUGGUGAUGCAGGAAUCAAUUUUGGUUCUAUGUUGUCAACUCCCUUGUUGGGAAUACUUUAUACUUAUUACAGUUUUGCUUUUCUAAUUGUUGAAAUUCUCUGAACUGACUUGGAAAGUAUUGGUUUUUGGGAUAUGAGUUUAGUGGUUGUAGUAUCACUUCUUUAAUGGAACUUUUCACUUCGGUUUGUCUCACCAACUUGAAAGUUCCAUUGAAAAUGCGCUUGAGGCCCUGUUAAGACCGAGAUAUUCACAGAGAUGGAUGGAUUCUCCAGAAACAAUGGUGUAGCUCUGCUCUUAGAUUAUUGCCUGCCUGAAAUGUGCCAUACUUGCUCCGGACACCAGAAAUCCUGGACAUUGUGAUCUUCAGUGCUCCCCUAGCUGUUACGUUAUGAUGAUUUCCGAUCCCUGUAAACUAUUUGCUCAUAAUACAUAGUGAAUCUGAUGUUUCAAAUGCAAUGUUGUGGCAGGCUAUGGGCUACAGACCUACUAUUAUUAGGCAAUGUGCCAAGUGGUUAAUUGUGGUGUUGUAGAUUAUUAAACCAGACCAUCUGGUACACGAUAUGUAUGAGGAAAAUCAAGUA